GUAGGCAGCAAGCGUUGUUCGGAGUUACUGGGCGUAAAGGGUGCGUAGGCGGCUUCUUAAGUCUGGUGUGAAAUCUCCCGGCUCAACUGGGAGGGUGCGCCGGAUACUGAGGGGCUAGAGUGUGGGAGAGGAAAGUGGAAUUCCUGGUGUAGCGGUGAAAUGCGUAGAUAUCAGGAGGAACACCGGUGGUGUAAACGGCUUUCUGGACCAUAACUGACGCUGAGGCACGAAAGCGUGGGUAGCAAACAGG
rnacentral:rRNA from 1 species